rnacentral:rRNA from 1 species
AGUGAACGCUGGCGGUAGGCCUAACACAUGCAAGUCGAACGGCAGCACAGUAAGAGCUUGCUCUUACGGGUGGCGAGUGGCGGACGGGUGAGGAAUACAUCGGAAUCUACUUUUUCGUGGGGGAUAACGUAGGGAAACUUACGCUAAUACUGCAUACGACCUACGGGUGAAAGCAGGGGAUCUUCGGACCUUGCGCGAUUGAAUGAGCCGAUGUCGGAUUAGCUAGUUGGCGGGGUAAAGGCCCACCAAGGCGACGAUCCGUAGCUGGUCUGAGAGGAUGAUCAGCCACACUGGAACUGAGACACGGUCCAGACUCCGACGGGAGGCAGCAGUGGGGAAUAUUGGACAAAGGGCGCAAGCCUGAUCCAGCCAUACCGCGUGGGUGAAGAAGGCCUUCGGGUUGUAAAGCCCUUUUGUUGGGAAAGAAAAGCAGCAGGUUAAUACCCCGCUGUUCUGACGGUACCCAAAGAAUAAGCACCGGCUAACUUCGUG